CCUACGGGAGGCAGCAGUGAGGAAUAUUGGUCAAUGGACGAGAGUCUGAACCAGCCAAGUAGCGUGAAGGAUGACUGCCCUAUGGGUUGUAAACUUCUUUUAUAUGGGAAUAAAAUGUUCCACGUGUGGGAUUUUGUAUGUACCAUAUGAAUAAGGAUCGGCUAACUCCGUGCCAGCAGCCGCGGUAAUACGGAGGAUCCGAGCGUUAUCCGGAUUUAUUGGGUUUAAAGGGAGCGUAGGUGGAUUGUUAAGUCAGUUGUGAAAGUUUGCGGCUCAAACGUAAAAUUGCAGUUGAAACUGGCAGUCUUGAGUACAGUAGAGGUGGGCGGAAGUCGUGGUGUAGCGGUGAAAUGCUUAGAUAUCACGAAGAACUCCGAUUGCGAAGGCAGUUCACUGGACUGCAACUGACAUUGAUGCUCGAAAGUGUGGGUAUCAAACAGGAUUAGAUACCCGGGUAGUC
rnacentral:rRNA from 1 species